rnacentral:rRNA from 1 species
CCUAAGAACCUUUUAUAGAUAAGAGGGGGCUAGCUUGCUAGAACUUAGAGACAGGUGUUUCACGCCUGUGGUCAGCUCGUGUCGUGAGAGGUUGGGGUAUGUCCUGCUACGGGCGCAACCCACGAAUUUAGUUGCUAACGGUUCGGCCGAGCACUCUAAAUAGACUGCCUUCGUAUGGAGGUGGAAGGUGUGGACGACGUUAAGUCAUUAUGGCCCUUAUGCCCAGGGGGACACACGAGCUUCAAUGGCAU